UACAGAGGGUGCAAGCGUUAAUCGGAAUUACUGGGCGUAAAGCGCACGUAGUCGGCUUUGCAAGUCGGGUGUGAAAUCCCCGGGCUCAACCUGGGAACUGCAUCCGAGACUGCAUUGCUAGAGUAUGGGAGAGGGAAGCGGAAUUCCUGGUGUAGCGGUGAAAUGCGUAGAUAUCAGGAGGAACACCGGUGGCGAAGGCGGCCCUCUGGACGGAUACUGACGCUGAGGCGCGAAAGCCAGGGGAGCAAACGGG
rnacentral:rRNA from 1 species